rnacentral:tRNA from 1 species
GGGCACAUAGCUCAGCCCGGUAGAGCGCGUCGUUCGCAACGACGAGGCCGGGGGUUCAAAUCCCCCUGUGUCCAC